GCUUCGGGAAGCAGCAGGUGUUGGAGGAGGAAGGGCGCGUGGAGAAGCCCCCGUUUUCUGUGUCCACUUGCCUCUUUCCCCUCCCCACUCCGCCGCCUCUGAGUGGACCAGAAGGAAAGGAAAGGAGGAGGAGGGGGGGAGGGGAGCAGAGGCUGGCUGGCAGGGAAAACCCCGGCGCGGAAAGGAAGCAAGGAAGGAGGCGAAGGAGCCGGGACUGCGGACUUUGCCCUUGGCAGCUGCGAGGAGAAGCGGCUCCCGCAAAGCAGGCGCUCCGAAAGGACGGACCUCUCCUCCCCCUGUUUUCUGAGCCUCCGAGUUUGGUCAGACCCCACCCCCUCCCUCCCUCCUUCCUUCACGCCUUCCUCUUCCUCCUCUCUCCCGGCGUCUGCUUUUAGGAUGGAGCUUUGACUGGAAGGAAGCACAACACCACCUUCUCAGGAUUCCUCCCUAAACUUUUCUCUUCCUCAGCCUCCUCUGCCUCCAGCUGCUCUGCUCUGGCGAAUGGGAUAAUUUGGACCCCGGAGAAGGAGGGGGCGGCAGGAGGGGUCCCCUCUCUCGCUUGAAGGGCGACCCCACUCCAGCCUGGACUUGUUUCCUCCUCGUCCCAGGUGCUCCUCUCCUCCUUCCGCCCCAAGGAGGGCGAGAUGGAUUUGGUCGAGGGUUAAGGGAUUUCGCCUCUAGGAAGAAGAAGGAUUGCAUGGCCCCGGCGAAGGAGACGCAGCCCCUGGUUGGGUGAAUGAACCAAAGCCUUGCCCUCAGCUCGCUCUUUUGGAAGAACUGAUGAGGCACCCCGGGGCCCCGCUUUGGAUGCAUCGCGGCUAUCCCGAGGCCUCGCCUCUCUCCCGAGAAGCCUUGGGGCUCUUGGUGGUGGUGUACGAAACCGGCGAUUAGAGGGGACUGAGGAGCCAAGACUUCCCUCCCUCCCUCCCUCCCUUCUGCAGCCCAAGGGGUGGCUCUCUCUCUCUCUUUCUAUCCUCUCUUUCUAUCCUCUCUCUCUCAGCUCUCUCAGCUCUCUCUCUCUCUGUCUGUCUUUCCUCCCCGCUCCUGGGCGAGUUAUGCAGACUCUCCUCCUCCUCCUCCUCCUCCGCGGCUGGUAGGACCCGAUGCUGUUGGCUGGAGCCCGGGGCUCCGGAGAUGGGGGGCUGAGGGGGCGAGCCAGAGAUCCCGCGGGGGCCCAGUCGGCGUGGACUUGAGGCGCGCGUGGGCUGCCGGGCUGCCCUGCUCCCGCCCUCCGCCUGCCGCUGGAAGAAGCCCUCCCGUCUGUCUCUAAAUGGAAUUAGUGGAGAGCGGAGCCCCUGGUGUAAGGAACAGACAUGAUCCAUGGGCGCAGCUUGAUUCACAUUGUAGCAAGUUUUAUCAUCCUACAUUGGGCUGGGGCAACAAAAAAAGGAGCAGAAAAGCAAGCCACUUCAGAAGGACAAAAAACAGUGCAGUGUGGAACCUGGACAAAAUACCCAGAAGGAGGCAUCUUCACUUCUCCCAAUUACCCCAACAAAUACCCUCCUGACAGAGAGUGUGUCUACAUUAUAGAAGCUGCUCCAAGACAAUGUAUUGAAUUACACUUCGAUGAAAAGUAUUCCAUAGAACCUUCUUGGGAGUGUAAAUUUGAUCACAUCGAAGUGCGGGAUGGACCCUUUGGCUUUUCCCCAAUAAUUGGUCGUUUCUGUGGACAACAAAACCCACCUAAAAUAAAAUCCAGUGGCAGAUUCCUGUGGAUUAAAUUUUUUGCUGAUGGUGAACUUGAAUCUUUGGGAUUUUCUGCACGAUACAAUUUCACACCUGAUCCAGACUUCAAAGAUCUUGGUGUUUUGAAACCAUUGCCAGUUUGUGAGUUUGAGAUGGGAGGAUCUGAAGGAAUUGUGGAAUCUGUGCAAAUUGGAAAAGAAGGGAAAGCUUCUGACAAUGAGGCAGUAGAUUGUAAAUGGUAUAUCCGAGCACCUCCACGAUCCAAGAUAUAUUUACGAUUCUUGGACUAUGAAAUGCAGAAUUCUAAUGAAUGCAAAAGGAAUUUUGUGGCUGUCUAUGAUGGAAGUAGCUCAGUGGAGGAUUUAAAAGCUAAGUUUUGCAGCACUGUUGCUAAUGAUGUGAUGCUGCGCACAGGUCUUGGAGUAAUCCGCAUGUGGGCAGAUGAAGGCAGUCGAAGCAGCCGAUUCCAGAUGCUCUUCACAUCUUUCCAAGAACCCCCCUGUGAAGCCAACACAUUCUUUUGCCAUAGUAAUAUGUGUAUUAAUAAUACAUUGGUCUGCAAUGGACUUCAGAACUGUGUGUAUCCAUGGGAUGAAAAUCACUGCAAAGAGAAAAGAAAAGCCAACCUGUUGGACCAGCUUACCAAUACCAGUGGGACAGUAAUUGGGGUAACCUGUUGUAUUGUGGUUCUCCUUAUCAUUAUCUCUGUUAUAGUACAAGUCAAACAGCCUCGUAAAAGAUUUGUCCAGAGGAAAGCAGACUUUGAUCAAACAGUAUUCCAGGAGGUGUUUGAGCCUCCUCACUAUGAGUUAUGCACUCUUAGAGGGACAGGGGCUACAGCGGACCUUGCAGAUGUUGCAGAUGAUUUUGAAAAUUAUCAUAAACUGCGUAGAUCAUCUUCAAAAUGCAUUCAUGACCAUCACUGUGGAUCACAGUUAUCUAGCACUAAAGGCAGCCGUAGUAACCUCAGCACAAGAGAUACACCUAUCUUGACAGAAAUUCAACCUCAGCCUGUAAAGCCCCUGAUCCAACCCAUGAACCGAAGAAAUAUCCUUGUCAUGAAACAUAGCUAUUCACAAGAUGCAGCAGAUGCGUGUGAGAUCGAUGAAAUCGAAGAGGUACCGACCACGAGUCACAGGCUGUCCAGACACGAUAAAGCUGUCCAGCGCCAUAACAUUCCAGGUUCUGCCUCAUUGGGUCUCUAAACAAACAUGAAUCUGAGUACAACACAACUAGGGUGUAAAAGACAGACUAAAGACUGCUUGAGAAUAGUGCGAUCCUGAGUGAUUUUGAAUAUGCUACAGUGAAUUGUGAAAACCGGCCCUGGAACUACCAGCUAGAGAUGUUCUGGACUCUGACCAGCUAUUCCAAUUUCAUGAAAAAAAUCAUCAGUCAGUAAUGAGUAAACCUAACGGAUGGCAAUAAGACUCUUAUUACUUAUCAUUGCUAUCAUUUAUUCUUACUAUUACAGUUUUUUUUCCUUUAUUUAUACUUUUUGUUUGCUCUGUUUUGUUUUGUUACAAAGAAAACACUACCCAAUUUCAGGAAUAAAUGAUCAAAUCAGGUAUUUACCCAUUCACAAUCACUUCACUAGAAAUAUUUGUUAGAUAUAAAUCUAACAUUAUAACUGAAUUUGACUCUCAGAAACUGAUUUGCAUGUAUGUUGCUGAAUAUUUGAGUUGGCCAGACAGCAAUGGCAAGAAAUCCCUUUGAUGAGAUACAUUGUAAAAAGCAUGCAAUCAUAUUACUGCUGUUCCUAUCCAUUUCUUUGUGUCAUAUGCUUGCUAAUUGUAACUUUUUAUAUAAAGAUACAUAAAACAAUGUAUAAUAAUUUCUUA